rnacentral:rRNA from 1 species
UACGUAGGGUGCAAGCGUUGUCCGGAAUUAUUGGGCGUAAAGAGCUCGUAGGCGGUCUGUCGCGUCGGAUGUGAAAAUCAGGGCUCAACCCUGGACCUGCAUUCGAUACGGGCAGACUAGAGUUCGGCAGGGGAGACUGGAAUUCCUGGUGUAGCGGUGAAAUGCGCAGAUAUCAGGAGGAACACCAGAGGCGAAGGCGGCGACCUGGAUAGGUACUGACACUCAACUGCGAAAGCGUGGGGAGCAAACAGG